ACGAUGUCGUUAGGUGGACUCGAAUAGCCAAUAAUUUUCAGAAAUCAUUGAGUUGGAAAAUUUCGUCGGGCUUCCUCUUCUUUCUCAGGCUCUUUGUGCAACAUCCAUGGAGUCGAAAGCUUCAACAACGAUAGCUAAGACCUCUCUUCAGAGCCCGAAACCUAAAGAAAGAGACCUCUUGCACCACCUCGAAGCCUACCUCGCCAAGCGAGAUGGCGUGGACAAGCUUCUCAAGAUUUCCAGGUAUGCCACCAAGAUCAUCCUCGCCUCCUCGGUGCUCCCAGAAACCCUUACCCUAACCGGUCGACUGAAGAGCUUCGAGACCAGCGUGGGGCUCAGUCGGAAGGCUUUCCGACUCGGCAAGUUCGUCCAGGACUUGAACGCUCUGAGGAACUCCCAUUUCGAUUCGAAACAAGAACUCGUCCUCUCCAUCAUCGCCAAUGGGGGCGAGGGCCUAUACUACUUUGUCGAGCAGUUUAUUUGGCUUUCCAAAUCGGGUCUGAUCGAUAGCAAACACUCGCGUAAUUUGCAGAAAAUCAGUGCCUGGGCCGAGUUUAUCGGCUAUAUGGGUAGUAUAUCGUUGAAAUUUAUGGAUUUAAAGCGGAUUAAGGAAGAUGAGGCGUGUUUGGAAUCGACUAUUGAGAUUGCGGUUGCGAGGGGAAAUGGGUGUCUCGAAGAGGAGCAGAGGUUGAGGAAAUUGAGAGAGAAGAAGCUGAUGAAGAAGCUCUCUAUUGUUCAAGAUAUUGCCGAUGGACUAAUGGCAUUGGCAGAUAUUCGUGACGGGAAGGGGCAGCUUUCGGCGCCGCUUUUUAUUUCUUGUGCAGGGCUGUUAUCGGCGCUGAUUAGCACUCAUAAGAACUGGGUGUCUUGCUGAGUUUGCUGGCCUUUCGCGCAAGUUAAAAUGGAGUUAGCAUGGCGUUGAUUAGAUGGAAGAAGGAAAUGAGUUUAAAAGCAAAAACUAUCCAUUGUUUCCCUUGCUUCGAUGAUGAAGGUUCCUGGAGAUUCUGUCUUGGUGAUUCCAAACCUUUCCAAGGUUGAGAUUCGAGUGCACCCAUUAAAAUUUCUGAGGCAAUCGGUAUGGCGUCAUAUGAUUUUGGAUAUCAUUUUUCCUCACCAAGGACAAUUUGUGAUGCAUUUACAUCAAAGCACACCAAGUACCCCAGGGGAUUGCAGAAUUUAGACUUACAUCUUCAUCUUGAGAAUUUCAGAAAAUCUUUUGCUUCUCCAUUAGCAUAGCUCAACUUAAAAAUGCCUAGCCUAACUAACAGCAGCCCAGCCUAGUGUAGAAUAUUCUCAUUUCUCAAAACAUUGGUUUUCCCUUCCAAUAGGUUGGUCUCUUCCAUCAAUGCCUGCACAUUAUGAGGACAUUCUACAGGAGCCUCUGUUUCUGCUUCAGUACAAGAAGCAAACAUUAAAAAAAAAAAAUGUCUCUUUGAACUUUGAAUACACUCUGUGGAUCAGAAUUAAAGCGAGC